GCAGAAUUGCAAUGCAAAUAAACUCCAGUAAAAUCUUUCACAACCUCUCCAGGGUUAACUCCACACCAUUGUUUCCAGUUAACAAUUUAUAAACUUGGAUUUACUGAUUAUCGUUGUCUGGACAAUAGACUGCAGCUGUUAAUGCUUUAUAGUGUCAGACUUUGUCAAGUGAUUAACAGACUAAACUGAAUAAUUUCGCCUUCACCAAGAUGCUGAAGCAAGUUUGCGUUAAAAGGUUUAAUUUUCUUCUAUUGGCUUUACCUCUGUGUAGUUCCACUGACUUCAGUGAAGCUGACAUCCCUCAACACUGAAUCCUAUGGAAGAUGUCGCCUAACGCGUGCACAUCAUGUGCAUUUGUUUAAAAGAUCAGUGCACACAGUUCGUAUCUCUCAAUAUUUAGGCCUGCAGCUGAUGUUGAUGCCACUAGAAAUUAUUUUAUGAAGUAAAUCAGUCAUUCAGAUAUUGCUGGCUAUGAAAAAUUUCCAGUUGGACAGGACAACUCACAAAAAUAAGAAACAUCUGCUAGCCAUUCUGCUGCUGCUUCUCCUUCUCUACUCUUCCACUCCAUUCCUAUCCCCCCCUGCUACUAUUAUUUACUUACACUGCUAUUGAUGCAGGGUUUGAAGAUUUAGGCAAUCUUUUUGUCUUUAAAAUCUGGCAUUUUUGGAUUUAGUUGAGGUCACCUAAGCAAUGAAGAAACUGACAGCUGCUUGUUGGAAUAUAACUGGGCGAAAUUAUUUUUUCCCUGGGGGGUAGAAUUGUGACCUGGUUACAUGGCUGGAACAGAAGGGAGCUUUUUUAAAGGUUUUACCCCUCUUGCAAUUGUGCUACCACAUGUAUACAAUCCUGAGCUGUUAGGCUGAUGGAAAAUGCAGUCUGAAAGCUCCAAGAAAGCCUGACUGCUACAAAGCUGACAUUUUAUUAACAAGUGUUAUGUUCGCAAGUUGUGUAGCCCCAACUUUACUCCGGAAUUUAAAAGGUCACUGCGGACACCAAAUAAGGCUUCAAACAUUCAAGACCUGCUGUGAAGGACAGCUGGCAAUGCACACAGAGCUCUGCCACAGGGCGAUAAAAGAAUGAAGCGAAUAUUUUAGCAGUGCAGUGUCACUAAUUAACACAAAAUUUAUUUACUUGUAAGAUAAAUAUAUUUGGAAAUGGUAAAUGCUCCAGAAAGAAUGUUUGUCCAUCAGUUGUGCAAGUGUUAGUUAAGUAGGAAACACACAAGACGUCCCUUGGCUAGGAUCUGAAGCACCAAGGCUGAGUAUCUCCAGAGUCAGAGACAUGGUGUUGUUGAAUUGGACGAUGAUUUCACAAUGACUGCAUAGAACCUGCUGGUUACAGUGGAGUGACCUCUUAUUUAUGCCCUUUUAGAAUGAGAGAAGAGCAGCAUUUUCUGAGUAUCAUGCAUAACACUUGUACCUCCCCGCAGAUGCACAGCCCUGUGGCACCGACCUUCAGGUGCUGCAGAGUAUCAGCACUUUGAAACAGCAAUAUUAGAGAUUUUAAGUCAGUAGCUUACAAAUAUAAGGUACUAGGAAAGGUGUUUCUCCUACAUUCAACUCUGCCUAAUGGGUAUGACAGCACUGACAGCACUGCCUUGCACUUCCAGCAGGUUCAGAGGUGAGUAGGAUCUGAAGAGAGAAGCAUAAAAAUAAAGUUCUCACUGAUUGUUUUUCUCCUUCAAGGAUAUUUCAUAUUUGUUCUUGGCUCACAAAAAGUUUUAAUGUACCUGAAAUUCUGAUUUAUUUAUUUUUUCUAGUAGGAAUGUAAAAUAGAGCAGGGUUGAAGCUUUUUCUGCUAAUACAGAAUAGCUUUACAACAUUCCUAUCCAGUCAAAUGGCACAUGAAAAAAGGCUGCUGAAAAACUGAAGGCCAUUGGAAGUCCUGCACAGCUGUACUACUUGGGACCCAGGGGAAGCAUAGAAAUAUGAAUAAUUAAUCAUCAUAAUUUGAAAAUGCUUCCUUGUGAAUGACUUUUAAGAGCUUCAAAUGUGACCAUGGGGAUUUCUUCUUGAAAGAAGUUCGAGAUGGCCAAGUUGUCCCAAUGUUAGGUGAAAAAUGUCUCCUGCAGCAUUAAUUAUACUUCAGUCCUGUGAUAACAUAGAGGUGACUUAUUGUGGAUUCCUUCACAGAAGACCACAUCCCAUGCCAGAAAAUCAUAAGCCAUAUUUCCCGUGUGUGGCCACCAAGAACAUCAUGUGUGGUCAUUCUGUCAAAUCAUAUUCUCCCAAAUAACUCCAAUACAAUGCUUUAAUAGGCACUGUCAGUGUGCAGUGGCCACAUCUCAACAAAAAAAAUACCUUUGAAAACAUCCGUCCCAGGAUAGCGAUGUACAGCACCAAACCCACUCAAGCUACUAAGCAAAAAGUCAGAUUGUUGGACAAAUGGGCCACACAGUAAGAGACUGUCCACCAGCUUAAAUCAUUCACACUUACAAACUACCAAAGCCUUGCAGGCAACAGCAGACGGUCAUUUUAAACUGUCUUGAUGUGCUGCCUAGCCAGUCUUCAGAGCAACUGAAAAGCACAAGUUCUCCAGGAAGGUAUCUGAGACAGGCAGAGAGAGGUGGUACUUAUCAAGGUGCUGAAUGGAUUCCACUGUAUUAACUCAGAAUCCAUCUGCUUUUACCAGAUGUUAAAUAAUUAACCUCAUCUCAGCAUGACAUAAUUUAUACUUAAUAUAUCCUCCUCUCUUCAGACUCUUGUUUUAGUUUACACAAUUAACUGAAAGCCAAGAAAUAGAUGUAAGCCAUUCCAUAUGGCAUCAUGCCUUGUUCCCAAGUGAGAAUGUAUAUGGCAAUUACAUAUUCAUAAGCCUCCCAAUAAGGUUAUCCUGGCUCUUUGUGUCAUUGAGUUCAAUUUAAAUCCAUUCAGUGUAAAACCACUGCAAAGGGAAGUGAGCGUAAAACACACUAGCAGUCCCUCAGAUCUAGUACAGCUCCAGGACCGCUAGGUCUACAGUACAAUUUGUUGAAGCUUUUGGAUGCUUAGAUAUCAUCCAACAGAGAAAAUCCACUGGAGUGUCGCAGUGCUCUGGAGUUGCCCCUCCACUGGAAGGGUGUGAAAGAGAGGUCAAAAAUUUCUGUCAUGCUAAAAUACAAAGAAAUUCACUAGUCACAAAAUCUAGAUAAUGUAUCGCUCUUUGAAUCUCUGGAAUAACACACAGGGAAGAUUAAUGGAAACAUGAGAUUGUCCUUUCAUCUGCUUUUCCCUUACAAAUCUUAAAUUCAAAACACAUUCUAUACAGUAUAAUAAAACCUCAGAAGCACUAAUGCAUAGUCCAUAGGAUCGAAAAGAGAAGCAAAGAAGUGGGCAGUCUCAGAAUGGUUUUCUUUGUAUUUGCCUACUGCAGUUGGAAUGAAACAUUCUACUCCAAUUAUGCUUUAUUCUGUGGUUGUUUCUUUUUUCUUUUAGCUUCAAAAGUGCAGAGACACUGCCAAAAUGAAACAUUCACACUCCACUCAGUAUUAAACAACUGAAGAUGAUGUGCUUCCAGGUAGUACAGUAUCUCGUUAAAUCAGAGUCUAAUCAAGCCAUAAAUGAAACACGUCAAGGCACUGGCUAACUGAACUGUCUCAUUAGUAUCUGACCUCCACUUUCAGAAAAACUCUGUGAGGAUCAAUUACAAAGAGGGAACAUUUUUGUUUCAUAAAGAACAUGGUGAAGAAUAGUAUGUAGUUAUGGUAGAGGGUUACUUCAGUGUACUCAGAAAGUGUUUGAAGUUUAAUUCGGCACUACAUACUGUUAAUUCAGAGCACUUUCAACUCAGAAUAGUUUAACAGAAAUUGAAAAUACCAAUGAAUCUACACCUGCACUAAAAGUAGGAUCCAUCUUACCUAUUGAUCUGUGUUCUGCAGAACUAGUGCUUGAUUCUGGUAGUCAUCAAACUCUGACUCUGAACUUAAAGCUGUGACGUCAACUGAGCUGCUCUGGGUCCUGUUCUGCCCUAUAUGUGACAGUAUAUUUUGAACCAACAUUGUGAAACAACUGAAUGUGGGAAAUCCAUUAUUAGAAACUCCACAAUUCCUUACAGCUUCCUUUCCUACCUUCUGCAACAUGCUCUUCCUCUCUAUUACCUCUUAGCAGUGCUAAAGAUAGAGGAGGAGACAUGAAGAACACAAAAAUCUUUCUAGCAUGCCUGUUUUAGGGGUGAGAAGAAAGACACGGACAGCUUUGACAAGAUUGAAGCUAAAUAUAAACUCAUCCCAUAUUUCUUUGCAAAUGAGCCUUGAAUGAAUUCUUCAGCAUCUUCCAUCUCCUGGCCACUUUCUCAUAAUUGUAGAGCUUUCACUAAGAUCUUUUACAGGAAUUCUGUCAGAGGAUGGCAGAUGACCUGAUGCAGACAGUAGCAAAAAUCUGACAUCCUGAAUCCUGCACAGGAGGGCAUGGUUGAGAAAUGAAGUCCAAAAAUUCUUAUAAAUGUUACCACGGGAUCUUUAAAUGUCCAGAUAAAGGAGACAUGACCUCAAUCCUUAGCCUUUCCUCCAAAAAGCACAAACAAUAAUAAUAACUAUAGCUAAUAACAAAUAAUAUUAAAUAUAAGGAAAAUAUGUAAGACACUAACCAUUUCGAAGAGCCGCUAGACUGAAAUGACCUUUCCGUAAUGUUGGAAAGUUUUCUAAGAAGAAAUGUUUAAUUUUCAUAAGCAAAGAGCUUAACUCACUGCAUUACAGAAGUCACUGGGAGUUCUGCCAUUGACUUAAAGGAUCACGCUUUUUUAAGUGACUGAAAGGGAAGAAAGUGUGUAACGUAGUUAACAUUUGGAAGAAAGGAGUUCUGAAUUUUCUGGAAGAUGUCCUGGAAGAGUAAAGUUGCAAACAUGAAGCAUAUGUGUAAUUUGAAGCAAAACAGCUCCUCACAUGCAAAAAGCUAAGCAUAUUGCCAAGUUGUCAUGGAACUGGGAUCUUGAACAUACUUCGAGAGAGGUCAUAUGUGUAUGUCUGCUUGGAGGACACCCUAUCACCAUGUCUGUCAUCAUGAAAUUUCUUUAAUUGUCUCUUUGUAAAUGAGAAUCUUUACAAUAAGAAAGAGGAUUAGAUAACUAUUAUGAAGUUAAUUUAAAGCACAGAAAUUCUUUUGACAUUAUGGUUGUAGCCAAAAAUUGUAAUUUUUUCUGUCAGAAAUACCACUGAAUUUUGUAGUUUUUGUGAUAUCAUUACCUUGUGGCAGUACUUGGCUUUUAUUUAAAUGCAUUGAGUACUCCUGGAGUGGAACAAUAUUCAUUCAGCUUUCCAAGAGAGAUAACAUUUUUUUUAAAAAAAAAAAAAAGGAUGAAAUGUACCAGUGAAGGCUGUCCUGUGCUUGGUCUAAACAUAGUAACAGUCACACAAAAUAACAGUAAAAGAACAAAAAAGGUAAUGAAUUGUAUUCUUCUACUUGGUUUUUUAAAAAAGAAAAGUCACAAGUGACAAAGUCUCUCCACCUGCCAAGAGUAAUGAGUGAUACAGGCCAACAUUAAUAAAAUAUUUUAGUCUUGGGAAAUGUUAUGUCAAUCAAAGCAAAGUACUGCUGUUGUAGUCACUGAAGCAUGUGCUUGACUAAGUACAAGAACUGGUGUCCAGCGCGUGCUUCGCUGUGCAUGGGCUUGGCUGCAUGCUCAGGGCCUGAAUUUCAGUAAGUGCUGUCCAUAUGCCUGUUAUAAAUACUGCUUUAGCUUUGCUACUAUGAAACAGAACAGCUGCAGGUUUCAGAACUGCAUGUACACACACACAUAAAAAAAGGAAAAAAAAAGUAGCUUCCCAUUCAAGGAAAUAAAAAUAUCCUUACAAAAGUCCAAUGCUGUAUCAGCAACAAUACUUGUCAGCCAACAUUACUGCUUUUUUAUCACAGCUGUAACCUUGAUCGUGUUUGCAUACUGUCUCUUCCCGUUAGUGUAGUUCUCCUGCUGUUUAUCCCUUUGCUCUAUCUUUGCAUUCUUUCUGUGUAAGUAUAAUAAAUGUGUUAUAUGACUGGUAUUUCUGCCAGCAAAACUAGAAAUCACUCCCCAGUGUUGGCAUUUCACCUUUGACUCAGCGCCCUGGAAUCCUGCCGGAUGUUCCUACGUUCUCAGGCUAUAUCGCUGGCUGCAGAUACACAGAGGACAGGCAUCGGACGUGUCACAACUGACAUCACCAGUGACUCUGUGCAUGCUGCGGGAUAUUACUAAAAAUUAUUUGUGGACUACGAUAUUAUUGAGUACCAGUGAGAGUUUAAAAAUAAAUUUCAAAGGCCCUCAUCACAUUUUUUAAUGUGAUGAUUUUCCUUUCUUCCUGUCUCUU